GAGCCACUUAGCUCCACCGGACCGUCUGGCAGCUGCUCGGCGGGCUGGUUCGUUCGGAGCAGCCGCGGGCAACGGAACAGCCAUUCCACGGCAAAUCUAUGGCUGUGUGAACAUAAAUGACAAGUGACCGGGACCGCCGCCAGCUGACGCAAGUGCAGAUAUUUCCAACCCAGCGCAGCCUACGAGCGAGCUAACGGAUGUUGCGGAGCCCGCCGGUCGACACGUAAAACACCCCCCUGAAAACCCUCAAAGCUAAGUAAAAAACAAACAAACAAACAAACAAACACGCACACAUUCACCCACUCGCUGUUUUUCUUACCUCCAAAAUUGAUGCAGUUCUUUCCCGAGGACAAUCAAUCACGACACAUGAAUGUGUUGGGUUUUUAGGCGCGCCCUUAUCCUGCAGGACGUUCCUCCAGUAUCCCUUGUCUCCACACACGCACACACGCACGCACACACGCAGACACACACACACA